AGUCGAACGGAGAUUACAGGCGGAAGUUUUCGGAUGGAAGCUUGUAAACUUAGUGGCGGACGGGUGAGUAACACGUGAGCAACCUGCCUAUCAGAGGGGGAUAACGAUUGGAAACGAUCGCUAAUACCGCAUGACAUAGCGGAACCGCAUGGUUUUGCUAUCAAAGAUUUUAUCGCUGAUAGAUGGGCUCGCGUCCGAUUAGAUAGUUGGUGGGGUAACGGCCUACCAAGUCGACGAUCGGUAGCCGGACUGAGAGGUCGAACGGCCACAUUGGGACUGAGACACGGCCCAGACUCCUACGGGAGGCAGCAGUGGGGGAUAUUGCACAAUGGGGGAAACCCUGAUGCAGCGACGCCGCGUGAGGGAAGACGGUCCUCUGGAUUGUAAACCUCUGUCUUCGGGGACGAAACGAGACGGUACCCGAGGAGGAAGCCACGGCUAACUACGUGCCAGCAGCCGCGGUAAUACGUAGGUGGCAAGCGUUGUCCGGAAUUACUGGGUGUAAAGGGAGCGCAGGCGGGCAGGCAAGUCAGGCGUGAAAUAUAUCGGCUCAACCGGUAACGGCGCUUGAAACUGCAGGUCUUGAGUGAAGUAGAGGUUGGCGGAAUUCCUAGUGUAGCGGUGAAAUGCGUAGAUAUUAGGAGGAACACCAGUGGCGAAGGCGGCCAACUGGGCUUUUACUGACGCUGAGGCUCGAAAGUGUGGGGAGCAAACAGGAUUAGAUACCCUGGUAGUCCACACCGUAAACGAUGAUUACUAGGUGUGGGGGGACUGACCCCUUCCGUGCCGGAGUUAACACAAUAAGUAAUCCACCUGGGGAGUACGGCCGCAAGGUUGAAACUCAA
rnacentral:rRNA from 1 species